rnacentral:miRNA from 1 species
GGAAUGAAGGUGAUGCUGUGGA